AGGAUAUCCUGUGCUAAUUUUCAUGUUGAUUUCGGCACAUCACUCGUCUAUUUCCUCUCAAUUAACAAGAAAAAUUAUAUCGAUUUCGGUGAACUUAAAAUAUUUCCCUUAAGUUGUCUUACACUCUAAUCUUGAUCCAGGGACUAAAUCAAACAUUUUUACCUUUAGUCCUUUUACAAGGGACUUUCUCAAAAGUUACAAUUUAUAAUGUAUGCCAUAUGGGUGGGCCAAUACUUUAUCAUAGUAACACCAUACAAUUAAAGUGUUCUGAGGUCUAUAUGUUUGUAAUUGAAGUUGUUGGUAUGAAUUUUGUGGACAAAGAUUAUUUUAUUUCUGCAGUGUUAAGGUUAAGUUUUAACCUACACAAAAUUAUUUACAUUAUAUGUGGGUUUUUUUUAUAAUUUGUUAAUAUUUUU
rnacentral:lncRNA from 1 species